GUACUACUCUCAGAGUUUGAUCCUGGCUCAGGAUGAACGCUAGCGGCAGGCUUAACACAUGCAAGUCGAGGGGCAGCAUGAGACGGAGAUUCGUCGAAGUCUUGAUGGCGACCGGCGCAAGGGUGCGUAACGCGUGAGCAACUUGCCCGUUUCAGGGGGAUAACCGGUGGAAACGCCGACUAAUACCCCAUAGUAUGUUUUUAAGGCAUCUUUUAAACAUUAAAGAAUUUCGGAAACGGAUAGGCUCGCGUGACAUUAGCUAGAUGGCGGGGUAACGGCCCACCAUGGCGACGAUGUCUAGGGGUUCUGAGAGGAAGGUCCCCCACACUGGAACUGAGACACGGUCCAG
rnacentral:rRNA from 1 species